rnacentral:lncRNA from 1 species
CUGAACUGAUUGCCUUCCUGUGUCAUCUCUCGUCUGUCUUCUUUAUGAGAGAAAACUUUCUAUCUCGCUUGCUUAUGAAGAACUUCAAGUCUAUUGGGAAAGGAUGUGGUGGUAACCCCGCAACUUUGUCUAGAACUGGAUGUCCAACCGUGUCUUCACCCGCUACUACGGGACCUCCAACUCUAGCUAAUAAACACCUUCCACCCGCUUCCAUCUUCCCUUGUGCCCGACAGCCCGAUUUUUGAAAACCCUUUCUGAUCCCCUACCCAAUCUCAUGAGAAGCAAGCCCAGAAGGACCUGCCUUAACUUGUCUUCAGAUAGCCAACCCUCUUUAGGCUACUAGCAUGGCUAAAGCUUCGCCACAGAGCAAGCUUUCCCAAAUAUGAUAGAUGCAGAAGUGGUGGUAACCCCGCAACUUUGUCUAGAACCUGAUGUCCAACCGUGUCUUCACCCGCUACUACGGGACCUCUCUAGCUAAGAAACACCUUCCACCCACUUCCAUUUUCCUGUGUGCCCCCGACAGCCCGAUUUUUGAAACCCUUUCUGAUCCCCUACCCAAUCUCAUGAGAAGCAAGACAGAAGGACCUGCCUUAACUUGUCUUAAGAUAGCCAACCCUCUUUAGGCUACUGCAUUGCUAAAGCUCCACCACAGAGCAAGCUUUCCCAAAUAUGACCGAUGCAUAAGUGGCUAACGAAGUUGUAGGAAGAAAGUUGUUGGACUACUGUACACGAAGGUACAUUAGUAUUUUGGCAAUUGGCAACAUUAAAAAAAGGAGUAACAGAUAGGAAUAAAGUAAUCUGCCUAACCUUUGAUUCCCAUAACCAUGUUUUUCUUUCUCACUCCUUAUGUACCUUUUUUUCCUUUUGUUUCUUCUUACUUCAUCC